CCCAGCAAGUAAUAGCAAUUAUAUAUAUAAGCUGAAAGAAUAUAAGUAUUCUCUUUACAUAACACUUCUACAACGAAUUGAAAGUUGUGAAGUAAUCUGUACUGAUAAAAAAUUCACAUAACAACUCUCUUUCAAUUUCUUGAAAUUAGGCUCCACCCAUGAAUAGGGUUUAAGAAACAUACGAUGAACAUUGUUUUUCAUUUUUGAAAAGGUUUAGCAGAAAUUCAUC
rnacentral:lncRNA from 1 species